rnacentral:lncRNA from 1 species
GUGGGGGUGUUCAGCUUAUGCAGGAAGUGAGACUUCAGAACCAAAACACGGCACAUAUUAGUCAUAGCUACAAGUACAGUAAGAAUUUUAAUUCAUUUUAAUCUUUAUCAUCUCCUCACCUAUUGUAGUAUAAUUCAAUUCUCUGUUAGCCAGGUUUGUUUUACUUUCUGUAUUUGAUCAUUCUUAGAGAAAAUUAAACAAACUAGAAGUUAAGUAGCUCUGCAUUUUCGUCUGAUAAUGAGAACUUGACAAUAAGGCCCUAUUGCUGAAUACCCAGACAUACUUCAGCCAUAAGACAAGAAGAAACAGAGCUGGGACUGACCUGAAAGUUUCAGCCCUACUGGCUAGCUUUCAUAGUACUAGAAAGUUCUAUGGAUGCUGCUGGAGAGGAAAAGGAAUCAUCAAAUUUAUCUAGUUGAAGACCCUAUGACCUACAGUGACUGUCAUGAGCCUUCAUCCAGUAGAAAAUUGAAGUAGAAGCUGAGAUUCACAGCAAAACACUGAGCUGAACUCCUGG